AUCUUUACCCUGAUGCAGAAUUAAUUGCACCCAGCUCUGCUGACUCCAUCUCCAGUACUGAUGAUGGGAACCUGGACAGCUUCCACAGCUGGAAUGAUUAUGAUCAUCAGUCAGAAAACAGUCUCAUUCCACUGCGAGUGGUCAGGAUCACAUGCUUACCAGGAACCCUCUACAGAUCCCUCCCAAAAACGGACAGUUCCCACACCGGUGUGAGUGUAGGUGGAACAGAAAGCAGCAAACAAGAGCUGAGGAGUUUCUUGUGGCCCCCACCCCCUUAUCUGACAAAGCCUUUUGUGAGCACAUUUGCCAUGUUUUGUUCUGCUUAUAUAUUCAGCCUUCCUCGCUUGUAUCAAGUAUAACAUGCAUGAGAUUAGCAAGCAGCGAGUGCCCUCUUCAUGGGUCCUGCUCACAUCAGUGAGUGCUGGCUGGGACUGGGGCUGCAACACAAAUACAGACAAAAGGAGGACAAAUGGAAGUCCUUUGGUUUCUUCCAUCUGCAGGAAGCUUUGAAAUUUACCCCAAAUGAGACCAAAAGCCGCUGCCUUCAGCUCUAGGCUGUAAGGUAUAGGUCCCUGGAGCAGGUCACACCUGUGUGAAGGCUCCAGAAAGCUUUGUCUGCUCUGUCUUCUGGAGGAGAAGUCUUGGGAAUUCCUACAGGUGGUGUGAGAUCCCUGCUGUACCCCACCCCAGCGUUUUCUGCCCACUGUUCUGCCAUGUUGUCACACCGUAUGGGUUUGAUUUGCCCUUUGGGUAUGUUUCCUCACCUGCAGCGAGUUACACCUGAGCGAGGCUCAGAUUUCACAGAGGAGCAAUCAGAGGCACUGUGAAUGCUUGCAGUGUUAGUGAAAUCAGUGAUAUGGCAUUGUCCUGGUUAACAUACCUAUGGAAAGCAAAGCUGAGAAGCCAAUGUGCAGAUGUAACCUCUGUAGUGAAGUCUAUGUCUGAAAAGCGUCUAUUAAACUGCAGAAACAGCGC